CAUUUAAUUUCAUUUCUUGUGUGUGAAAUUACAAAUACGAUGAGCAACUUCCUUUAUUAUGAUAAGCGAAGCUGAUUUUUUUCUUUUGAGUCAGAUGCAAGGCAACCAGAUCAAAACUACAGUAUGAUACUCCUGUAUAUUUAUGUUUUGGCUACUUUCUUGGCUGUUGGAUAUUCAGCAGUCACCAUAAAACAGUCUUCUAUAUCUAUCACAAGAAAAGGUGAAGAAAAAAAAUCGGCACUUAUCCUAUGCCAAAUAGAAGGCAGCUUUACCUACAUUCAUUGGUAUAAACAGAAAAAUAACAGAGAACUGAAAAGAAUUCUCUAUUCAACGGAUGGAAGAGCUUCUUAUGAAGAAGACAAAUACAAGGACAAGUUUGACAUUAGUUCACGUACAGAUUUAAGAAUUACUAAUAUAGAGAGAGAUGAUGAGGCCACAUAUUAUUGUGCCUGUUGGGAUACAGCACAACGAGGGAAGUUCAUCACAACUCAGCACAAAAACAGGAUGAUCCUUUGCAGAGAACAUUAUUGUAUAUCAUGUAUAGCCACUUAUUAUUAUUGGGAUUAUGGGGAGUGAAGAUAAAAAUAGAAGUCAUUAUUACACUUUAGGAGAGCACCCAUUAUGCAAAUUUGUCAAUAUGCAAACAUUUUUGUUCAUCUCAAUUGCAGUUGCUAUCAUAAAUGAGCUUUCAGAUACAGUUAUGGGACCUGUUAUCCAGAAUGCUCAGGACCUGGGACU